GUUAGGGAGGCCUGGAGCCCAAGGCCGAGUGUCACGGCGGUCCAGGUCACAAAAAUACCAAGAAGAGGCACAGAGGAGGUGAGGCUGUGAUGGUCCCCGUGUAGGGACUGGUGUCAUCUAGAUAUUUGCAGACCUCAAAUAUUGUUUCAACAGCACUAUGGAUUUUGGAAAUUUAUAACAUGUUUGAUAAUAAUGUGUUUGACUUUUAAUAUUGACCACAGUGUAGUACCUUGCAAAAUAUAAACACAUAAUAGGGACAACAUUCUUCACAUUAAUAGGUAGACUUAAAAUAUGCAAAGUUCCUUCCAAACCAUGACUUUGCUGAAGAAACUACAUCUUAGAAAGGCUACCUGACUUGCCCAUAAUUUCACCAGAAGUAAGGGGUUGGCAGGGACCUAUGGUGGAUGAAAAUCUGCCCAAGGCCUCGCUGAACUGCCCACUCACGCAGUGGUCAGGAAGAUGCUCUGCUCUCCCCGGGAGACAUCACCAAAGACACGAGAGGAAACUCUGGCCCAAGCUCACCUGAUGCUCAGAAUAACAGAAUUGAGACUCUAAGCCAGUGAAGGUGGCUGACCUGGGGCCUGUACAGGCCAACUGCUCAUCCCUACUGAUAUUCUCACCUCACCUUUUCAGUGUGGGCUGACCUGGAGACAGGAUCCUGCCACUCCCUGACCUUCAUAAAGGCCCUUCAAGUUUGCCGUGUAGUUGGUGAUUAUAUUGUUUGGAUCCUGUGAAUGGAUGUUCUUAAAUUUUUGUAAUUAGCCAUCAUUACUCUUGGGUUUGAUUCCUUCUGAAAAAAACAUAUCUGGAAGGGAGAAUGUCAUCAGAAUGGGAAGUAGUAAACAUCUGCAUUGAGAGUUAGCAAGAUAAACAAUGGCUUCCUUGUGUGUAUCCUCCACCUCGCCUUGGCCUUUAUUGUACGAGCCCCAGGGAUCCUCGACAAGCCCCGUCCCUCGAGCAUCCCUGGGAGAGUUGGUCCAGUCCAGGCUACAGAUCCCACCUUGGAGCUGACGUCCCCUCACCUCCCCUUUCCCGCCAG
rnacentral:lncRNA from 1 species